CUUUUUGAAUUCAACGAUUCUGGUGCUGGUAUUCGUUCGUCUCCAGUUCAUUUGCCUCUUCACAACGUUUAGAAGUAGCAUCGCGCUUAUUUCGAGAUUGAUUUCUGAGAUUGUGAUAAAAUUGGCAGAUAGAUUCAGAUAAAUAGAUAGGCUUAGUAAUAGAUUUUUGAGUUACUAGGUUUGAUAAAUAGGGAAUUGAUUAAUAGAGAGUAGAUUAGGUAGUUCAUUGAGUUUCUGUCAGUUAUUGUAUCUGUUGUGUUUCUGUGGUGACUGCGUCUGUUCACUGUUCAGGUGGACUUCCUACAUGAACUUGUGGGAGGGAAUGUGGAGACGCCGCUCGUCCAGCUGACAAUGAAUGAAGUGCCACCAACUUCUGCAGGGAAGGCGGGAAAGGGAAGAGGUCCCUAAACAGCCUUCUGAGAAUCAAAAUUUUGGAGAAAGUUGUUGCUGCGUCUCUGGAGAUUUCACCAGCAAGCUGUUUGAAACCAGGGUGUAAGAGUGGCUCUGGCAGUACGAUUCUUCCCGCUAGGUCGCGCGCUUGUCGGUUCAGCCAUCUUGCAGCCAUACCAAUGAGCUGUUGGCGUGUAUUUUGAAUGCGAAUUUCAAAUUCUAUCUGUAUUUUUUCUGAUUCUUGAAUGAAAAAAACGAGAACUUUGAAUGAGAAUUUUCAACUUCAAUUGGAUUAUUAAUUUUUAAAUGAAUUAAGGUUGUUAUUAAUAACAGCAUCACACACACAAACAUUUGAUGGAUUUCAGCCAUCAUUUUACCCAUAAUCAACCACUUCUCAUAUUCAAUAGUAACUGUAGGAAAAGUUUAAUGUGAAAUAUGUGAGCAAAGUUCCUCUGCUGCACUCAAGAAGCCAUUCCGCCCUCGCCUACGGCUCGGGCGUAAACGUUUCUUUCGGUGCAGCAAACUGUCACUUUGCACACCAGUUGCACAAAUAACUAAUGAGAUAUUAAAAUAAAAUUAAUUGUUAGAU